GGUUAAGCGACUAAGCGUACACGGUGGAUGCCCUGGCAGUCAGAGGCGAUGAAGGGCGUGCUAAUCUGCGAUAAGCGCCGGUAAGGUGAUAUGAACCGUUAUAACCGGCGAUACCCGAAUGGGGAAACCCAGUGUGACUCGUCACACUAUCAUUAACUGAAUCCAUAGGUUAAUGAGGCGAACCGGGGGAACUGAAACAUCUAAGUACCCCGAGGAAAAGAAAUCAACCGAGAUUCCCCCAGUAGCGGCGAGCGAACGGGGAGGAGCCCAGAGCCUGAAUCAGCAUGUGUGUUAGUGGAAGCGUCUGGAAAGGCGCGCGAUACAGGGUGACAGCCCCGUACACAAAAGCGCAUGUGCUGUGAGCUCGAUGAGUAGGGCGGGACACGUGGUAUCCUGUCUGAAUAUGGGGGGACCAUCCUCCAAGGCUAAAUACUCCUGACUGACCGAUAGUGAACCAGUACCGUGAGGGAAAGGCGAAAAGAACCCCGGCGAGGGGAGUGAAAAAGAACCUGAAACCGUGUACGUACAAGCAGUGGGAGCACAGGUUUACCUGUGUGACUGCGUACCUUUUGUAUAAUGGGUCAGCGACUUAUAUUCUGUAGCAAGGUUAACCGAAUAGGGGAGCCGCAGGGAAACCGAGUCUUAAUUGGGCGUUAAGUUGCAGGGUAUAGACCCGAAACCCGGUGAUCUAGCCAUGGGCAGGUUGAAGGUUGGGUAACACUAACUGGAGGACCGAACCGACUAAUGUUGAAAAAUUAGCGGAUGACCUGUGGCUGGGGGUGAAAGGCCAAUCAAACCGGGAGAUAGCUGGUUCUCCCCGAAAGCUAUUUAGGUAGCGCCUCGUGAAUUCAUCUCCGGGGGUAGAGCACUGUUUCGGCUAGGGGGCCAUCCCGGCUUACCAACCCGAUGCAAACUGCGAAUACCGGAGAAUGUUAUCACGGGAGACACACGGCGGGUGCUAACGUCCGUCGUGAAGAGGGAAACAACCCAGACCGCCAGCUAAGGUCCCAAAGUCAUGGUUAAGUGGGAAACGAUGUGGGAAGGCCCAGACAGCCAGGAUGUUGGCUUAGAAGCAGCCAUCAUUUAAAGAAAGCGUAAUAGCUCACUGGUCGAGUCGGCCUGCGCGGAAGAUGUAACGGGGCUAAACCAUGCACCGAAGCUGCGGCAGCGACGCUGAUGCGUUGUUGGGUAGGGGAGCGUUCUGUAAGCCUGUGAAGGUGUGUCGUGAGGCAUGCUGGAGGUAUCAGAAGUGCGAAUGCUGACAUAAGUAACGAUAAAGCGGGUGAAAAGCCCGCUCGCCGGAAGACCAAGGGUUCCUGUCCAACGUUAAUCGGGGCAGGGUGAGUCGACCCCUAAGGCGAGGCCGAAAGGCGUAGUCGAUGGGAAACGGGUUAAUAUUCCCGUACUUGGUGUUACUGCGAAGGGGGGACGGAGAAGGCUAUGUUGGCCGGGCGACGGUUGUCCCGGUUUAAGCGUGUAGGUGUGUGUUCCAGGUAAAUCCGGUUCACUUUAACACUGAGGCGUGAUGACGAGGCACUACGGUGCUGAAGCAACAAAUGCCCUGCUUCCAGGAAAAGCCUCUAAGCAUCAGGUAACAUCAAAUCGUACCCCAAACCGACACAGGUGGUCAGGUAGAGAAUACCAAGGCGCUUGAGAGAACUCGGGUGAAGGAACUAGGCAAAAUGGUGCCGUAACUUCGGGAGAAGGCACGCUGACACGUAGGUGAAGUGAUUUACUCACGGAGCUGAAGUCAGUCGAAGAUACCAGCUGGCUGCAACUGUUUAUUAAAAACACAGCACUGUGCAAACACGAAAGUGGACGUAUACGGUGUGACGCCUGCCCGGUGCCGGAAGGUUAAUUGAUGGGGUCAGCGCAAGCGAAGCUCCUGAUCGAAGCCCCGGUAAACGGCGGCCGUAACUAUAACGGUCCUAAGGUAGCGAAAUUCCUUGUCGGGUAAGUUCCGACCUGCACGAAUGGCGUAAUGAUGGCCAGGCUGUCUCCACCCGAGACUCAGUGAAAUUGAACUCGCUGUGAAGAUGCAGUGUACCCGCGGCAAGACGGAAAGACCCCGUGAACCUUUACUAUAGCUUGACACUGAACAUUGAGCCUUGAUGUGUAGGAUAGGUGGGAGGCUUUGAAGUGUGGACGCCAGUCUGCAUGGAGCCGACCUUGAAAUACCACCCUUUAAUGUUUGAUGUUCUAACGUGGACCCGUAAUCCGGGUUGCGGACAGUGUCUGGUGGGUAGUUUGACUGGGGCGGUCUCCUCCUAAAGAGUAACGGAGGAGCACGAAGGUUGGCUAAUCCUGGUCGGACAUCAGGAGGUUAGUGCAAUGGCAUAAGCCAGCUUGACUGCGAGCGUGACGGCGCGAGCAGGUGCGAAAGCAGGUCAUAGUGAUCCGGUGGUUCUGAAUGGAAGGGCCAUCGCUCAACGGAUAAAAGGUACUCCGGGGAUAACAGGCUGAUACCGCCCAAGAGUUCAUAUCGACGGCGGUGUUUGGCACCUCGAUGUCGGCUCAUCACAUCCUGGGGCUGAAGUAGGUCCCAAGGGUAUGGCUGUUCGCCAUUUAAAGUGGUACGCGAGCUGGGUUUAGAACGUCGUGAGACAGUUCGGUCCCUAUCUGCCGUGGGCGCUGGAGAACUGAGGGGGGCUGCUCCUAGUACGAGAGGACCGGAGUGGACGCAUCACUGGUGUUCGGGUUGUCAUGCCAAUGGCACUGCCCGGUAGCUAAAUGCGGAAGAGAUAAGUGCUGAAAGCAUCUAAGCACGAAACUUGCCCCGAGAUGAGUUCUCCCUGAGACUUAGAGUCUCCUGAAGGAACGUUGAAGACGACGACGUUGAUAGGCCGGGUGUGUAAGCGCAGCGAUGCGUUGAGCUAACCGGUACUAAUGAACCGUGAGGCUUAACCUU
rnacentral:rRNA from 1 species